rnacentral:rRNA from 1 species
CACGUAGGGCGCAAGCGUUGUCCGGAAUUAUUGGGCGUAAAGAGCUCGUAGGCGGUCUGUUGCGUCCGCUGUGAAAACUCGGGGCUUAACCCUGAGCCUGCAGUGGAUACGGGCAGACUAGAGUGUGGUAGGGGAGACUGGAAUUCCUGGUGUAGCGGUGAAAUGCGCAGAUAUCAGGAGGAACACCGAUGGCGAAGGCAGGUCUCUGGGCCACUACUGACGCUGAGGUGCGAAAGCGUGGGGAGCAAACAGG